AAUAGAUACCCUGGUAGUCCACGCCGUAAACGAUGGAUGCUAGCUGUGAGGAGUAUCGACCCUCCUCGUAGCGUAGCUAACGCGUUAAGCAUCCCGCCUGUGGAGUACGGUCGCAAGACUAAAACAUAAAGGAAUUGACGGGGACCCGCACAAGCGGUGGAGCGUGUUGUUUAAUUCGAUGGUAAGCGAAGAACCUUACCCAGGCUUGACAUCCUGCUAAUCACUCCGAAAGGAGAGAGUGCCUUCGGGCCGCAGUGGCAGGUGUUGCAUGGCCGUCGUCAGCUCGUGUCGUGAGAUGUUUGGUUAAGUCCAUCAACGAGCGCAACCCCUAUAGUUAGUUGUAUUUCUCUAGCUAGACUGCCCUGGUAACAGGGAGGAAGGGGGGGAUGAUGUCAGGUCAGUAUUACCCUUACGCCUGGGGCUACAAACACGCUACAAUGGCCGGUACAAAGGGCUGCCAACCCGCGAGGGGGAGCAAAUCCCAUCAAAGCCGGUCUCAGUUCGGAUUGCAGGCUGAAACUCGCCUGCA
rnacentral:rRNA from 1 species